rnacentral:lncRNA from 1 species
GCUUUGGCUCCACUUGGGUACCCAGGAAACCUCGCAAGGUAGUUUGGCAGGAAUGACGUAAGCUGUAAGGUGGACUUGACAGAUGACAAGCGACACAUCUAUACAGAAUGCAUGCCCGGAUCUCUGGGCAAAGCCUUGCAGAGAAACUCAGAAGAUCCCAAGACUGAGUGGAUCUCAACUGUGCACAGUCUUUUUACGUUGGUCUUCCCUUGAACUCAAUUAACUGUAGCCUGAAAACGAAGAGCCUUUGGUCUCUCCUUACUGUAAAGCUCACCGUUAGCCUCCAACUCUCAUCAACAACCAGAACCAGAAGAACCUGAAUGUCUGAAACAAAGAGCAGAAGGCAAGAGCCAGCUUAUGUGCUUUCAAAUACAUUCAACGCUGCGCUUACCUGAUGUGUCCAGUGUGCAAGGACCAUGUGUACUGCUGUGUGUGUGUGUGUGUGUGUGUGUGUGUGUGUGUGUGUGUGUGUGUCUUCUUAUCCUGUGGCAAUUUAUCCUCUGUCCUGUUUCUUCUUCACAUUGCUGCUUCCCUUCUGAGGGAAUGACCCUCGUCCCAGAGCCUUGCCAAGGCCCAACUCUCCUCAGAAUCUUGGAUAACAAUGUGAGAGAGCAUUUCCUGCCUUAACCCCUUUUGAACUUCCUCUACAAUCCCAGGCUUUGCUCUAAGUUGCACUUUAAAAUCAUUUAAAAAUCAUUAACAUCUGUCCUGUUAAUUCAGAAUUCAGAACGGCACCUUUCUCCAACAAGCCUUAUGUUCUGCAGAACAACUCCCACUCACAACCCUAAGUGGUUCUUUAGAUCCCAGCCCGACUCUCUGACCUGAAAUCCUUUCUCAGGAUGCAGGGCAAGCUUUACUAACAGCCACGGCUGAUGAAAAAUGGGUUCCCUGUCUGUACCAGCUAGAGACUUGGAAUGUCAGGAGAAUAACAGGUGCGCCAAUUCUAAGUGGGAUGGGAGAUUUCAGGUGAGCAAAACGACCAAUGGGGAAGGAUCUCCAGAGUGGGGAAAAAGUGAACGACGAGGCUAAGGGGCCUAGGGAGAUGAAACUCAGAGUCUUACUUACUUAUGACUGACACACAGGAGGUGGGGGGAAACUUGGGAGAUUGAGAUAUGAUAUAUGUUUAUCUAAGGAGAAAAACAGAGAUAAUAUAUACAGAGAAAUGUACAUAGAUGUACAUAUACCCAAAUAUACGGACUGUACAGAAGGAAGUAUUCAGACUUUAACAAAGGGACAAAUAUUUUGCCUUGGUUUGGGGGAGCAGGAUAGCUGGAUCUUCUGUGUUAUGGUCUGAACAACAGUGACAGUAGCUGAUGGUUUUAAGUUUGCUUGAUGGAAAAGGGAGGGCUAGACCCUGCCCUUUUCAUAAAUAAAGGAGCAUCCGUCGAGGUUUGAUGAAUUGUGCUGGCAGGACAAGAGGAAAACUAGGAGGAAAUGGGACACAGGGAUGCUCCACUCAUGGAGAAGUAGGAAAAUCUACCACUCACACAAUCCCUGGCCAACAACCUGCCGCUGAACAAGUUCUAAAACAAGCAAGCAAGGGAGCAAGUAAGCGAUCGAGCAAGCGAGCAAACAAAAGCAUCCUUCCAUUUUCCUCUCUUCUUCCACCAAGAUGGGAGCUGUAGGUCUAGGCCCCAUCAUUAAAAAUUGAGAAGCUGAAAUUUUAGUACGGGGGGGUGUGUCAAAUGCAAACACUAGAAUGCAAGCCCUAGGACUGAUGAGCUGUUGAGCUCAAGAUACUCUCAAGGCAGAGGCCCAAGCCUAUAUAGAGAAAUCCUAAAGAGGGUACUUCAUCUGUCAUCGUCUCAGCCCCGGCGUGGAGGCAGGUGAAUGCGAUGGCUACAAGGCUUCUUGAUGGAAAUGCAGAAUUCUGCUUUCCUCUUCCCCAGAGGCUGAUGCAGUUCUAUGCAAAGCUUCUGAAAUCCCUAACCUGGGCUUCACUUCAUUCUGGCUGCUCCCUACUGUUCCUCCCACUCUCUGAAACCCACACCAGCUAGCACUAUGCAGGGAUUUCCCUGAGGUCAGCAGAAAAAGAAAAGCAGUCGUAAUGUGGCUAUUAGCCAGGGACAUUGCACAUUCUCCAAGGCUUGCUACCACAAACCUUUACCCAUGCUAGCUAACCUAGUUUCUUUGCAAAAUAACACAUUACCUAUGCUGUGCAUAGCUGGGCUUGCAGGCCCAGUAUUGGCCAGUGCUACUGAAACAGAAGAAUCUAGGGAUGAUUUCUCUACACGCUGCAUUAAAGACUAAACCAGGUCAAAUGUAUUUAGAAAAAAAAAGAUGUGUGAGGCAUUUUUGGUUUAUUUUUGUCUGUUCAGAACAAACUACUAAAUAAACUGGAUGCAUCUCUUGU